CCUACGGGAGACAGCAGUGGGGAAUAUUGGACAAUGGGGGCAACCCUGAUCCAGCCAUGCCGCGUGUGUGAAGAAGGCCCUCGGGUUGUAAAGCACUUUCAGUGAGGAAGAACGCCUGGUGGUUAAUACCCAUCAGGAAAGACAUCACUCACAGAAGAAGCACCGGCUAACUCCGUGCCAGCAGCCGCGGUAAUACGGAGGGUGCGAGCGUUAAUCGGAAUUACUGGGCGUAAAGCGCGCGUAGGUGGCUUGAUAAGCCGGUUGUGAAAGCCCCGGGCUCAACCUGGGAACGGCAUCCGGAACUGUCAAGCUAGAGUGCAGGAGAGGAAGGUAGAAUUCCCGGUGUAGCGGUGAAAUGCGUAGAGAUCGGGAGGAAUACCAGUGGCGAAGGCGGCCUUCUGGACUGACACUGACACUGAGGUGCGAAAGCGUGGGUAGCAAACAGGAUUAGAUACCCCUGUAGUC
rnacentral:rRNA from 1 species